AUGGGUCCGGGAUCCUACCCUUUUGCGUCAGAAACACUGGGCUUUCAGGUCUGUGAGGGCAGCCCUGGGCUGCCCACAGCAGGCUUGAGCUGGGCUGAGCUGGGCUGGGCCAACCGGAAGGUGGAGCUGCCCACACCCCCGACCAGCAAGACGCCUCUCACCCCCACUUCUCUUGUGUCUUCUCUCGGGUCCCCAGAAAGUGAAUCUCACCCGAAAGUCUUCCCCCUGGUGUCCUGUGUGAGCUCCCCGUCUGAUGAGAACACGGUGGCCCUGGGCUGCCUGGCCCGGGACUUCGUGCCCAAUUCUGUCAGCUUCUCCUGGAAGUUCAACAACAGCACAGUCAGCAGCGAGAAAUUCUGGACCUUCCCCGAAGUCCUGAGGGAUGGCUUGUGGUCGGCCUCCUCUCAGGUGGCCCUGCAUUCCUCAAGCGCCUUUCAAGGGACGGAUGGCUACCUGGUGUGUGAAGUCCAGCACCCCAAGGGAGGAAAGACCAUCACGACCACAAAGGUGGUCCCCAGAGUUUCUGCAUCAACUCUGACCCCGACCACGCUAGCACCGUCUCUGAAAUCCAGGUCAGAGGGCUCCAGCAGAGCCGUCACCACUCAGAGCAGCCCAGUGCCGGCCACCAGCCACAGCCAGACAGAAGCCCGGACACUAGCGUAUCCAAAGGACCCCUGCAGAGAGUGUCAGAACCACACCCAGGCCCUCAGCGUCCGCCUGUUGCCCCCGCCCCCGCAGGGCCUCUGGCUUUUGGACAAGGCAGAGUUCACCUGCCUGGCCAUGGGGGAGGCCCUGCCGGAUGCCCGCUUCUCCUGGGAGGUGAAUGGGCAGCCCCAUGGCGGGGCCAUGGAGGAGAGACCCACCUGGCACAUGAACGGCUCCUGGAGCCAGAGCAGCCGCCUGGCCCUGCCCAGGUCCCUGUGGGCCUCGGGCUCCAACAUCACCUGCACGCUGAGCAGCCCUGGCCUGCGGUCACCAGUGACCCUGACAGCACAGAGAGAGCAUGCUGCCUCAGUGCCCGGCAAUCUGACCCUCCGCACUCUGACCACGCCUGGCCGCUUCUUCCCUGCCUGGCUCCUGUGCGAGGUGUCCGGCUUCUCACCCGUGGACAUCCUCCUCACAUGGCUGGAGGGCCAGCAAGAAGUGGAGCCUUCCCAGUUUGCCACAGCGCACACCACAGCCCAGGCUGGGCAUGCCUCAUUCCACACCUGGAGUGUCCUGCAUGUCUCCAGCCCCCUGGACCACGUGGGGUCCACCUACACCUGUGUGGUCAGCCACGAGGCCUCCCGGACGCUCCUCAAUGGCAGCUGCAGCCUGGACACUGGUGGCCUGGCCACCUGGCCGCCCUGGAGCCAGGACGAGAGCAGCGAUGACAGCGCAGAUGUGGAGGAUGCCGGCCCCCUCUGGCUCACCUUCCUGGCCCUCUUCCUCGUCACUGUGGUCUACGGCGGCUUCGUCACCUUCAUCAAGGCAGGUGAAGUAGCCCCGGAGAGCAGACGCUGGCUCCACAUGGAAGGACCUGGCCUCCACGCUGCCUGCUGCUCCUGGAGGGCAGAGGAGCCCACGCUGGACCCCACCCUGCGCACAGAGGCCUUGCGGCCCCACACUCAGUCCACCACAGAGCCCAGCUCCCAGCCCAAGAGGAGGGCAUCGUGCCCUCAGACCUUCCAGGAGGAGGGCACCCUGUGUCUGGCCAGCCCAGUGCUGGAUACGGUGCCACUCCUCUUGUUGGCUCCAGACUCUACACCAUUCAUCCCCGCUCACGGGCCGGUUCUGAUUCUGCCUGCUCACGGGCCGGUUCCCCUGCUCAACGGGCCGGUUGCCCUGCUCACGGGCCGGUUCCCCUGCUCACGGGUCGGUUCCCCUGCUCACGGGCCGGUUCCCCUGCUCACGGGGCCGAGCAGCUUCCGGACAGAUGAUCCCCAGCCUCCGUGGGGCCAGCUCACCUGCCGGCGCCCCGCCUCCUCUUAUUACGAUUCCAUCAGCCUUUGGUUUCCUGAGAGGCAGCAGUCCUCGCUGAAGGGCCUCGAGGGGCUUCUGUUUCCUGGGUUAAACCUGAAUGUGCACAAGAAUGAAAAGUCCUUCCAGAAACAGAUCCUGAGGGAGGGGCAGGCACCGCGCUCUGUCCUGGGAGCAGCGGCCGUCGGGAUCUGGGGAGGCGGGUGUGAGGCCCGGUACCCGGCAGCCACGGGGCAGAUGGGAAGGAGAAACCUGGGCUACAGGUGGGUGGACCCCACGGGCCUGACCCUCUAA